rnacentral:lncRNA from 1 species
AUAUUUUUUUAAAUUUUGCAAGGAUCCCAAAUGGAUAAAUAUUUUUGUUGGUAAAGAGUUUUGAAAAAUAAUAGUUGUUUGUGCUUUCAUGAUGCAACUUGUAAAUUAAAAUGACAGUGACUUUGACUUUUGACAGCUGCGUCAAAAUUUUGUUUUGACAUACACUGUCCAACAAGUUCUUUUGUCAUUCUUUUGUUAUGUUAAAUUGAAGAUUUUUUUUGUAAUGUAAAAGAUUUGUAGAUAUUUUGUCCUGUAAAAUCAUUUCCUGUUAAAAGUUUUUUUGUUUGUUUAAAAAAAAACCACCGUAAAGUUUUAAAUAAAUGUUUGUGAAAGUGUAUCUAUCAUCUCAUUUCUGUAGCCUUUGGAAAAAUUUUAACAGAAAACUAAUGCAACUGUAUGAAAGUUUUAGUUCAGGAGAAAAGAAAGAAUAUGGCAUAGAAGCCAAUAAUAAGGAAAGAUGUUGUCCCAAUGUAACCCCAAAGAGGAAUCAAUGAUGAUUGUCCCCCCGAUUGGUACCCGUAAGUAAGAAAGUAUCCAGUAAGUACCCAUAGGUGAAAUAGAGGAUUUAUUUCAAACGGCGUCCCUUUUUGUUAAAUAGUAGAAAGAUCCUCUAGUCAGAGUAAGUACCCUUAUGUAUUUAGUUAUGGUAGUGUAGUCAUCUUAACACCCCUUCACCCUCCCUAACGAAUCUACGACCUAGCUCCCGCACAACAAAUGAGCUGCCGUCCCGCAACGAGGCUUUAUGUGUCUGCUUCUUCUUCUUUAGCCCCAUUCUUACCCCCCAGUAUCUCUAUAGAUAGUCUUUCCUUGCUCCCAUAUGAGCAGACAUUUAAACGCUUCAAAUGGCCCCGGCAACGUGGGGCCUGUACUUUUUUUGGCCUCCCUCAGACCCCAUUUGCAUGUUCCCACUACCAUGUCCUUUUAGCCUCCUUUCGGUCUCAUUUGUACUACAACUGUUAGGCAGUGCCCGUCUUGGGUAGCCGAUCUCAGUUUGUGGUGCAAGUGUUUCCGAUAACAUGGAAGCUCGACUCGUGUCAUGUUUUGUAUGCCCAUUGUUACAAGUCUAGCUUGUAGACAUGUUCAACUAGUAGUUAGCCUAUCUACUAGUCCCCAAUAUCUUUAGCCACCCCCCACUUAGUGUUACAUUUGUAACGUACACCCUGAAGUUUGACCCGAGUAAAUAUCGCCCAAGUCUUCCCAUGUAGUUUAGCCCAGAUUCCUCUUGUCUUGCCCCCAGAAACUGUUUCAUGUCUGUUAGUGCCCCCGAAACUGUUUCAGUCUGUUAGUCCCCAUGAAAGAGCCCAUUUUUGUAGUUUUUGUUGCAAAAGUUAAUAAUUUUUCCAAAGAGGUGUAAGUAUGUACACAUUUUGUUGUGAUGUUGAUUUGGUCGUGCUGUUGAUUGUAUAGGCAUGUACCAUUUCAUACAUCAUAGUGUAUUUAACUUGUAACCCCAUAUGUAUACUGGUAUUGUAUUGUAUUGUAAGUAUCGUAGAACAGAAUUGUAUGUUAUUGUAGCGUACUAACUGUAUUGUAUUGAUAUUGUACCCAUGAUGAAAGCAUUGAAUUGAUUUUUUUGAAAGUAUUGAUGAAAUAUAUAGACAAACAGUUGAAUAAAAAAGUAACGUAAAAUUUUUUUGAAAAUUUUGAUUAAAAGUAACGUUAAAGAUUUUGAAUAUUGAAUCCAAUUAUGAAGUAUAACAGUAUGUUGUAUUUUUUGCAUGUAUUCCUAUAGAUCAACAGUUUUUUUACAGAAUAAUCGUUUUUUGUGAUUUAUUGAUUUGGUCAUUUGAUUAGAUGUGUGAUGUUGUUGGUAUGGUCCGUGUAUGAGCUUAGCCCCGUAUAGUCUGUGUGAGAGUAGUCCCUUGUUUUUCCAGCGAAGCCUAUCUCUGUUGGUGUAUGUCAUGCCACAGGUUAGUUGGAGAAGUCAUCCCAUUGAGAAGUCAUCCCCUUGAGAAGUGGCCCCGUGAAGAAGUGAAGAGGGAAACCGUGGAGAGGCCCCCCACUUCUGUGUUUUUUUUUCAAGCAGCCAGGAGAAAAGCUGUCACUUUUAGAUUUGAAGAUAGCGUUCUCUGUCGACACUGUUUGAGAAUAACUGUCUUGAAGUGUAGAAGUUAGCCCCUGAAAAAGCCCCCCCCUUGUCUGUGUUGCCCCUUGUUUUUUUUUUUUUUUGACUAAUCUAUCUUUGUAGGUGUCAAAAGGAUGCCAGAGGUUAGUUAAAAAGAGCCCGUGAAGUAGUAGUUGAAGUCUCCCCCCCAGUGAAGUAGUUGAAGUCCCCUCGUGAAUGAAGUAUGUCUUUUUGUAUCUGACAUGUCACAAGUGUAAUACUCGUGAUGAAGGAAGUGUUGUUCAGCUAUCUGUGAACACUUUCAUUAGUAGUCGGAGCAAGAAAUGUCUUAUCCCGUGUGAGCUCAUAUAGGAACCAAAUUUCAAUAUUGUUUGUGUUUGUAAGCCCCUGAGUAUAUCUAGAAGUCAAAAAGUAUGUUGUUGUCUGUUUGUUUGUCUAUCCCUGUUUUGUCUGGAAGUUUUAGAGCCCAUUGUCUGUUGUCCCGUGUUGUCUAUUGUCCCGUGUUGUCUGUUGUCCCGUGUUGUCUAUUAGCCCGUGUUGUCUAUUAGCCCGUGUUGUCUAUUAGCCCGUGUUGUCUAUUAGCCCGUGUUGUCUGUUAGCCCGUGUCCGUGCUGGAGUUUGAUUUUUUUUGGCGAAUAGUUAGUUGACCUCUCUUCUCUUUGUUGAUUGAAAGUAGGCCAAGAGCAGAAGCUGUGACAAGGCUGGUGAGGUUAGGAUCUGGCCGCGUUGAGUACAGGUGAAGCUUGCUUUCGGUCGAUAAAUGGAAGCGGUUGUUCGUCAGAACUGUCAUACUUUCCAAUGUCCCUUUGGUCUUCCCCUUGCGUGUUGCUUUCAUCCCCUGUUUUGAAAAAGUAGCCCCCCGUUUUGAAAAAUAAAGUCCACCCCCAGUCUUGAGAAAUGAAAUGCCCCCAGUUUUGAAAAGUAAGUCUAUCCCCAGUUUUGAAAAGUAAAGCCCAACCCCCCUGUCUUGAAAAAUGAAGUCUAUCCCCUGUUUCGAAAAGUGAAGUGUAGCCCUGUUUUGAAAAUGAAGUCUUUCCCCAGCUUGUGAUUUGAAAAUGAGAGAGUUGUCUAGUGAACGUUCAUGAAAGGUUCUUAUGUCCUGGAUUGGACUGUUGAUUGAAAACGUAAUGAUGUAGUGUUCUCUAUAUCAUAUGUUGCGUUCAUUUCCCUUAGUCUUGUUUAAAAAGUUUGAUAUCCUGUUUGAACCCAGUAUACUAGUCUUUUUGGUCUUUUGUUGUUGUCACACAUACCCCCUCCCCCUUGUUAGUCUUGUUUUGAUUUUAGCCCUUGUUGUUGUCAUAUACCCCUUUGUCUAGCCCUGUCUUGUUUGAAUGAGUUGUUGAAGUAAGUUGUUGGUGAGAUUUUGUCUCACUGAGGUGUUUAGACUGGAUUGUCUAAAUCCUCGUUUUGCAGAACCGUUGCCGAAAUGUCCCGUGAAACUCGCUAGGUGUUAGUAGAGUUUGGGCAGAUGUUUAUCUGUCAAACAUCAACUUUUUAGUUUUUGUGAACCGCUCGCGGUUAGGCAACGAGGUGACAAGGCUGUGUCUGCCCUGGUAUGUCACUUGUGUUACUGCUGUGGAUGUCAGCGAGGUCCACACAGGGCACAAGUUUAGUUUCUUUCCCAAGGCACAGAAACUCUUGUCACCUACAGUUCUUUGUAGAGUCAAGAAACAUUUAAGUCUACUCGACUUUAAAGAGUCUGGCGAUUGAUGGCACGCUAGCCCAAUCCCUAACGACUUUUUUGUUUUGUUUAAUCCCCACUAGCCAUUAUCUAAAUAUUUUGAUAUUGUUGUCCUGUCACACCUAAGAUGUCCAUGUUGGAUUUUUUUCUGUUUGUUAUCGAAAACUGGAUAAUCUUAUCCAGGUUUCUCUUUUGCGCGGAGGCUUUGUAGCGUUUGAAAAAACUCCAACAUUAAUUUAAAAUCCCAAUUCCCAAAAAAAUGUCUAUUUUCCAAUUUAUUUUGUGAGUUUGUAUAUCAUUAGAGUAUUUUAAAGCCGUCCCUGUAUACAGUAUUUAGGUAUUGCACAAUGGUAUGCAAUAGUAAGAAGUGCUGACGUUUUGAUGCGUAAAAGAACCUUCUAGAAUAAAGUUCCGAGUUUUGUCAAGUCAGCGCCCCUAAGGUUCAAAAUCGCUUGGUACCUAUGUGGUACUUUUCCCCGAUCUGUGGCUUCAGACAGAAGCGCAGAUCAGUCCGGUUUGAUUUCUUCAAGCGUGAAGAUCGCUUGCCGACUCACCCCAAAAGGGCGUGGUGCCUUUUGUUACCCGCCGGUAAAGGGUAUAGUAUGUCGUUCUGGAAGAUCUAGUGUGAGGGCACGAUGUUUUUUUUACCCCGUAGUGAAGUUGGGUGCUCUUACACUGUGUUUGAGUUGUGACGCAGUACUAUACGCCGGCGUGGUAUGAAGUCCCUGUAUCUUGUCCAAGUUCCUGUUUAAAUGAAGUCUUCCGAGUCCCGAUUGAUGUCCUGAUGUAGACAUUUUGAGUUCCAGUCCCGUGAUGUUUAUCCAGUUGAUUGCCCCGAAAUAAAAAGGAAGCCAUGAAGCCCACCUCAGGUCGAUGACCCUGUUUGUUUGUAGAUGAACCCCCUUUCCGUGUAGUUUGUGACGUGUGAUAAAGGAUUUUGUUUAAAUAUGGUAUGAUAUAUUUUUUUAAAUUUUGCAAGGAUCCCAAAUGGAUAAAUAUUUUUGUUGGUAAAGAGUUUUGAAAAAUAAUAGUUGUUUGUGCUUUCAUGAUGCAACUUGUAAAUUAAAAUGACAGUGACUUUGACUUUUGACAGCUGCGUCAAAAUUUUGUUUUGACAUACACUGUCCAACAAGUUCUUUUGUCAUUCUUUUGUUAUGUUAAAUUGAAGAUUUUUUUUGUAAUGUAAAAGAUUUGUAGAUAUUUUGUCCUGUAAAAUCAUUUCCUGUUAAAAGUUUUUUUGUUUGUUUAAAAAAAAACCACCGUAAAGUUUUAAAUAAAUGUUUGUGAAAGUGUA